ACCUUCGUGGUGUAAUUGGAAGCAUACUCGACGCGUAUUCCAGAGGUCCAGGGUUCGAGUUCCGGCGAAGGCA
rnacentral:tRNA from 1 species